rnacentral:rRNA from 1 species
GGUUAAGCGACUAAGCGUACACGGUGGAUGCCCUGGCAGUCAGAGGCGAUGAAGGACGUGCUAAUCUGCGAUAAGCGUCGGUAAGGUGAUAUGAACCGUUAUAACCGGCGAUUUCCGAAUGGGGAAACCCAGUGUGUUUCGACACACUAUCAUUAACUGAAUCCAUAGGUUAAUGAGGCGAACCGGGGGAACUGAAACAUCUAAGUACCCCGAGGAAAAGAAAUCAACCGAGAUUCCCCCAGUAGCGGCGAGCGAACGGGGAGCAGCCCAGAGCCUGAAUCAGUGUGUGUGUUAGUGGAAGCGUCUGGAAAGGCGCGCGAUACAGGGUGACAGCCCCGUACACAAAAAUGCACAUGCUGUGAGCUCGAUGAGUAGGGCGGGACACGUGGUAUCCUGUCUGAAUAUGGGGGGACCAUCCUCCAAGGCUAAAUACUCCUGACUGACCGAUAGUGAACCAGUACCGUGAGGGAAAGGCGAAAAGAACCCCGGCGAGGGGAGUGAAAAAGAACCUGAAACCGUGUACGUACAAGCAGUGGGAGCACGCUUAGGCGUGUGACUGCGUACCUUUUGUAUAAUGGGUCAGCGACUUAUAUUCUGUAGCAAGGUUAACCGAAUAGGGGAGCCGAAGGGAAACCGAGUCUUAACUGGGCGUUAAGUUGCAGGGUAUAGACCCGAAACCCGGUGAUCUAGCCAUGGGCAGGUUGAAGGUUGGGUAACACUAACUGGAGGACCGAACCGACUAAUGUUGAAAAAUUAGCGGAUGACUUGUGGCUGGGGGUGAAAGGCCAAUCAAACCGGGAGAUAGCUGGUUCUCCCCGAAAGCUAUUUAGGUAGCGCCUCGUGAAUUCAUCUCCGGGGGUAGAGCACUGUUUCGGCAAGGGGGUCAUCCCGACUUACCAACCCGAUGCAAACUGCGAAUACCGGAGAAUGUUAUCACGGGAGACACACGGCGGGUGCUAACGUCCGUCGUGAAGAGGGAAACAACCCAGACCGCCAGCUAAGGUCCCAAAGUCAUGGUUAAGUGGGAAACGAUGUGGGAAGGCCCAGACAGCCAGGAUGUUGGCUUAGAAGCAGCCAUCAUUUAAAGAAAGCGUAAUAGCUCACUGGUCGAGUCGGCCUGCGCGGAAGAUGUAACGGGGCUAAACCAUGCACCGAAGCUGCGGCAGCGACGCUUAUGCGUUGUUGGGUAGGGGAGCGUUCUGUAAGCCUGUGAAGGUGUGCUGUGAGGUAUGCUGGAGGUAUCAGAAGUGCGAAUGCUGACAUAAGUAACGAUAAAGCGGGUGAAAAGCCCGCUCGCCGGAAGACCAAGGGUUCCUGUCCAACGUUAAUCGGGGCAGGGUGAGUCGACCCCUAAGGCGAGGCCGAAAGGCGUAGUCGAUGGGAAACAGGUUAAUAUUCCUGUACUUGGUGUUACUGCGAAGGGGGGACGGAGAAGGCUAUGUUGGCCGGGCGACGGUUGUCCCGGUUUAAGCGUGUAGGCUGGUUUUCCAGGCAAAUCCGGAAAAUCAAGGCUGAGGCGUGAUGACGAGGCACUACGGUGCUGAAGCAACAAAUGCCCUGCUUCCAGGAAAAGCCUCUAAGCAUCAGGUAACAUCAAAUCGUACCCCAAACCGACACAGGUGGUCAGGUAGAGAAUACCAAGGCGCUUGAGAGAACUCGGGUGAAGGAACUAGGCAAAAUGGUGCCGUAACUUCGGGAGAAGGCACGCUGAUAUGUAGGUGAAGUCCCUCGCGGAUGGAGCUGAAAUCAGUCGAAGAUACCAGCUGGCUGCAACUGUUUAUUAAAAACACAGCACUGUGCAAACACGAAAGUGGACGUAUACGGUGUGACGCCUGCCCGGUGCCGGAAGGUUAAUUGAUGGGGUUAGCGGUAACGCGAAGCUCUUGAUCGAAGCCCCGGUAAACGGCGGCCGUAACUAUAACGGUCCUAAGGUAGCGAAAUUCCUUGUCGGGUAAGUUCCGACCUGCACGAAUGGCGUAAUGAUGGCCAGGCUGUCUCCACCCGAGACUCAGUGAAAUUGAACUCGCUGUGAAGAUGCAGUGUACCCGCGGCAAGACGGAAAGACCCCGUGAACCUUUACUAUAGCUUGACACUGAACAUUGAGCCUUGAUGUGUAGGAUAGGUGGGAGGCUUUGAAGUGUGGACGCCAGUCUGCAUGGAGCCGACCUUGAAAUACCACCCUUUAAUGUUUGAUGUUCUAACGUUGACCCGUGAUCCGGGUUGCGGACAGUGUCUGGUGGGUAGUUUGACUGGGGCGGUCUCCUCCUAAAGAGUAACGGAGGAGCACGAAGGUUGGCUAAUCCUGGUCGGACAUCAGGAGGUUAGUGCAAUGGCAUAAGCCAGCUUGACUGCGAGCGUGACGGCGCGAGCAGGUGCGAAAGCAGGUCAUAGUGAUCCGGUGGUUCUGAAUGGAAGGGCCAUCGCUCAACGGAUAAAAGGUACUCCGGGGAUAACAGGCUGAUACCGCCCAAGAGUUCAUAUCGACGGCGGUGUUUGGCACCUCGAUGUCGGCUCAUCACAUCCUGGGGCUGAAGUAGGUCCCAAGGGUAUGGCUGUUCGCCAUUUAAAGUGGUACGCGAGCUGGGUUUAGAACGUCGUGAGACAGUUCGGUCCCUAUCUGCCGUGGGCGCUGGAGAACUGAGGGGGGCUGCUCCUAGUACGAGAGGACCGGAGUGGACGCAUCACUGGUGUUCGGGUUGUCAUGCCAAUGGCACUGCCCGGUAGCUAAAUGCGGAAGAGAUAAGUGCUGAAAGCAUCUAAGCACGAAACUUGCCCCGAGAUGAGUUCUCCCUGAC